AGAGGAUGCUGAUGGCCGCAAGCAAUCCCAGGUGUGCAACACCAGCUCCGCGGGCGAGGAAUGGCAACCGAAGAGUUCGCAUAGGCACAAGAGAGCCCUUGGCUUUAACACCCGUCUCCUUGUAUUCUCCAAAACCCUCUUUGGCACUUUCCCAUGUCUCCCUUGGACAAUCCCUGAAGCCUUCUCAUCUCCCAAUUUCCCUCUCUUUCUCUAUCCUCCACUGCCAUCAACCAUUUCCAUCUCCUUCCACGCCUGUCCCUUCACAAUACUGCAAAAUCAAACCCCAUAGUUUUUUUCUCCCACUGGCUUUUGUUCUCAGCGGCACUCUCUCUCUCUCUCUCUCUGUUUGUGCGCGAGUGCUGAUUUACGGUUUACUUAAAGUUUUUCUUAGAAUUCAACUGUGAUCAGCUCUGCAAAGCUUGCACAGGACUGCAUUAGAUCUCACGAAGAACAAGAUUGGCACCAUUACGAUUUUGAUGGCAGUGUGAUUGGACCAGCUUGGUGUUUGAUUCCACAGUUGAAGCAGGUCGGACUGGAUGGUCUUGUCCAGAUUCCAACGUAUGGUGAUGGGUGUGGAAGAUGGUCAUGAGCAUUUGGAACAAAAUAAAAUGCUUCCUCCACCAGUAGGAGUCUUUCCGACUCGUGAGGAACUUCUCAAACAUGUCCGUGACUUUGCCCUAACGCAGGGAUAUAUGGUUUCUAUUAAGGAUUCUUCAAAAGAUAGGUAUGUGACAAUUGCUUGUGACAGAGGUGGUAUUUAUCGUAGAAGGCUCAAAAAUGGUGAAAAUAUGCGUAGAAGGAAAACUCCUACUCGCCUUACAAAUUGUCCUUUUGAAAUUGUGGGCAAGAAGGAUUAUGACUCAUGGACACUCACCCUUAAACAUGGAGAACACAAUCAUGGACCUUCAAAAGAUAUCUCUGAUCACCCAUCUUGUUGUUGUUUCACAGAAGAAGAGGUUUUGAUUAUAAGAGAAAUGACUGCGACAGGUAAACGGCCGUGCCAAAUUCUGAAGGCAUUGAGGCAAAGGAACCCAAAUUUAGUGUCAGAUUCCAGGAAUGUUUACAAUGUAAAAGCUAAAAUUCGUCGAGAGAUUUCAUCAGGAAAGAUGCAGUCACUGUCCUCAUCAUCAGCAGGCAUGAAUGGCGCAACAACAUCCCAGCCAACAAUGCCUAACGGGGUGGCUGUGACUGUGUCAUCACCGACAUAUUUAGAGAGCCAGAAUGUAAGGGACACGAGGGCUUUAGUGGCAGAUCUGUGCAGACAUUUCUACAGUCUUGGUUGGUUGUCUGGUACUGGAGGUAGCAUUACUGUGAAAGUCCACGAUGAUUCCAUUCCCAAGUCCUGCCAGCUCAUUGUCAUGUCUCCCUCUGGUGUUCAGAAAGAGAGAAUGGUUCCUGAGGACAUGUAUGUGCUAUCCUCGGAAGGGUUUAUUUUAUCGACACCUCCCCUUAAGCCUUACCCCCAUCAUCCUCCCAAGAGCACUGAUUGCGCUCCUCUCUUCUUGAAGGUUUAUGAGAAGUGCAAUGCUGGGGCUGUUAUUCACAGUCAUGGACUGGAGUCUUGUCUUGUAACAAUGGUGCAUCCUUUAUCAAAGGAGUUUCGAAUCAAAUCCUAUCCGAAAACAAUGGCUGUACUUGUUCAAAACCAUGGGGUGUAUCUAUGGGGAGACUCAUGGAUUAGUGCCAAGACUCAGGCUGAAUGUUACCACUAUCUUUUUAAUGCUGCUAUCAAGCUUCACGAAUUGGGAUUAGACUGGUCUAGUCCAAGUCAUGGUCCUCUUCACAGUGUCAAAAGAUUUGGGGGAUGCAAUGGGCAUAUAAGCAGGCCUCUUAAGAUGGGGCCUUUCGGUUUGGAUUAUGUAAUCAAGCUUUCCCAUCGUUGUAUUCUCCUCAACAUAGAAGGGACAACCACACCUAUGUCAUUUUUUACUGAUGUUCUUGUCCCUUAUGCUCAUAACAACAUGGUAAAGCAUUUGGCUGCGACAUUUGAUGGUGAAGAAACUAAAGAUGCUAUAAAUUUGCUGUUUUCUCAGAUUCAGGAGGAUUUGGAGCAAGGCGCUGUUGGUGCUGUGCCCAUCCCUUCGGAUUAUGGGACAAAAGAUCUGGUGAUUGCUUCUUUAGCUGCUAAUGUGGAAGCGAUGAUUAGGACUGCUAGAAAGGUUACUGCCCUGAAACUACUCGAAGGUCACAUUUGGAGAACUGGUUUUCAAAAUAACGAGUUGGUUGGUGUAGUUUUUGAUGAUGUGCCUGAAGCUCUUGAGAGGUGGCACGCUUUGGGUAUCAAGGGGCCUGUCUUUCUUGACAUCAAUUUCCAGCUCCAGUUCCACCAAUGUCUUUCAAUGUUGCACAAAGACAAUACCAACACUCUACAAAUCAAGGAAGAGGUGGUCCUUGAGGGAGGGGGCAUGGAAAUCAUGGUUGUUUCAAUAAUACUUCUUGUAACACUGAUAAGAACUACUUAAUAUGUUAGCUUUGUAAUAAACCAAGCCACUCAGCACGCAAAUGCUAUCAUCAUUUUGAUCUUUCUUAUCAGGACUCAAAACCAGAAAAUAAACAAGCCAUGGUCACUACUCCUGCUAGAAAUUGGGAAAUUGAAUGGCAUGCAGAUAUUGGUGCAAUUCACAAUGUGACCAAUGAUAUCAACAAUCUGAGCAUCAGAAAUGAUGACUAUCAUUGUACAUAUCAUGUUCGAGUUGGAAAUGGCCAAGGAUUACAAGGGGAAGGUCCAUCAUCAAGGACAUCUCAUUGAUGGACUCUAUCAAUUUACAUCCAAAUCACGUUGUCCACAGGUGUACGUAUAUUCUAACUGUAGCAGAGAAGCACAACAGCUUCUCCUUGCGAAUUCUAAUUUUGGGGACUUGAGGAAAUACUUCUGUGGAUUUUUUGACACCACAGUGGG